GGAUUGCCCCAGUAACGGCGAGUGAAGCGGCAAGAGCUCAAAUUUGAAAUCUGGCCUCCCCCGGGGGUCCGAGUUGUAAUUUGCAGAGGAUGCUUCGGGCGCGGCCCCCGUCUAAGUUCCUUGGAACAGGACGUCAGAGAGGGUGAGAAUCCCGUCUUGGGCGGGCGGCCCGCGCCCGUGUGAAGCUCCUUCGACGAGUCGAGUUGUUUGGGAAUGCAGCUCUAAGCGGGUGGUAAAUUUCAUCUAAAGCUAAAUACCGGCCGGAGACCGAUAGCGCACAAGUAGAGUGAUCGAAAGGUUAAAAGCACCUUGAAAAGGGAGUUAAACAGCACGUGAAAUUGUUGAAAGGGAAGCGCUUGCGGCCAGACUCGGGGGGCGGGGUUCAGCGGGCGCUCGUCGCCCGUGCACUGCCCGCUCCCCGGGCCAGCAUCAGCUUCGACGGCCGGUCAAAGGCCCCCGGAAUGUGUCGUCUCUAGGGACGUCUUAUAGCCGGGGGUGCAAUGCGGCCCGUCGAGACUGAGGAACGCGCUCCGGCUCGGAUGCUGGCGUAAUGGCCGUAAGCGGC
rnacentral:rRNA from 1 species